ACGAACGCUGGCGGCGUGCUUCACACAUGCAAGUCGAACGGAAAGGCCCUGCUUUUGUGGGGUGCUCGAGUGGCGAACGGGUGAGUAACACGUGAGUAACCUGCCCUUGACUUUGGGAUGACUUCAGGAAACUGGGGCUAAUACCGGAUAGGAGCUCCUGCUGCAUGGGGGGGGUUGGAAAGUUUCGGCGGUUGGGGAUGGACUCGCGGCUUAUCAGCUUGUUGGUGGGGUAGGGGCUUACCAAGGCUUUGACGGGUAGCCGGCCUGAGAGGGUGACCGGCCACAUUGGGACUGAGAUACGGCCCAGACUCCUACGGGAGGCAGCAGUGGGGAAUAUUGCACAAUGGGCGGAAGCCUGAUGCAGCAACGCCGCGUGCGGGAUGACGGCCUUCGGGUUGUAAACCGCUUUCGCCUGUGACGAAGCGUGAGUGACGGUAAUGGGUAAAGAAGCACCGGCUAACUACGUG
rnacentral:rRNA from 1 species